rnacentral:lncRNA from 1 species
GCAGUGCCGGCGGCUCCUGGGGCGGCGGGAGGGAGGUGUUUGUCACUGGCCGGCAUGGUGGCGUCACGAGAGUGGCGGCGCAGCCCCGGCUCCCUCAGUCCGCGUCCUGCUGGGCGUGGCCGCGGUCUUGGGUCCGCCCGGCCGUCAGAACAGGCCUCAGCGGCCGGUUGUGGAAAUAAACCCAGGGAGCGGAAGGAGUAAUAACGAAAAAGCUUUACUAGUGUUUUAACCGUGUACAAAACACUGUAGCAAUAAGAGAAAGGCCCGUGCUAUCUGUGUUUAAACAAAAUGCAGUGGCUGCGGGGCUUCCAGGCAGGGCUGGGGAACAGGCCGGGCGCCCGCCUUGGGCGCAUCUCCGCCUCUUAGGGGUAAGAGGCUCAGAGCCUACCCCUUAGGCCUAGUUGGAUGCGGGUCGGUCCUGCCCAAGGCCCCAGUGAGGGGAGCCGAGGCUAGGAAGGGGCAAGUUUUAUGUGUUUGGGAGGGGGUGUCUCUUCCCGGCCUCUGCGUCUUCCCCCUGGAGCGUCAGUAUGGUCAGGCUCUGGUGACCCAGCCGCUUUGCCUCCCGACUUUGGGAAGAGUAGCAAGGAGAGGUCCUGGCAAGUACACCCUGGGUGACAAACGGCUAUGAGAGUUCCCAGGUGAUUUCUCGAGCAGCUUCAGUUUACCGGAGCCCAGCCAGGAGAGAGAAUUUUAGCACAGGAAACGCAAUCCCGUGUCCAAGCUCCUAGAAUACCCAGGACUGAGAACCAAAGCAACAGACUUUUCCCAGGGAGCCACACUGCCUCCCCACCUCUUCUUUAACCCCUCACUUGGCAGCUCCAGGAGUUGGCUGCUGAAGACAGAGUACAGGAGGGCAUUUCGUUGACGUAAAAAAGCUACAAGCCCCUUCCGGGGCAAGGUCCAGCACCAUCUGUUAACAGGGCAGCCAGGGAGAAAGGAUGGGACCCCAGCACUCUGAGCAGAAUAAAUCUCUCUUCACUGGCCGAAGACCCUCUGCCUCAAAGGGCCCUACCCAGACUGCUGAGUGAGGAUCCCAUCCCCAAUCUUCCCACCCCUCUCAGGAAGAGCUGGGU